rnacentral:lncRNA from 9 species
GCGAGACUGCACAGCCUCUCUGUACACGGCCCGCCACCGCCAUCUUGGACUCAGAGGUCCUGCAGCAGAUCUGCGCUAAAAACUCUGGUCAGAAGGCGCUGGUUUCCAGGAUUGUGCGUGCUGCGCCGUAUGAACCCAAGGAAAAGAAACAAAAGGUUGCUGUUUUGAAGGGAACUGUCAUUCUACUUUAAACUGAUCAUGUAAUUGAGGAUUAAGGAGACAGGUGGAUGCCUCAAGUGAAUUCGGUGCCCGGGGUGCUUUUCGGGGUUUUGUAUGACGUGAGUGAGGGAAUACAUAUGGCUUUGAUAACAAGAAAGACUUUAAAAACAUCUGAC